GGAUGUGAGGGCGAUCUGGCUGCGACAUCUGUCACCCCAUUGAUCGCCAGGGUUGAUUCGGCUGAUCUGGCUGGCUAGGCGGGUGUCCCCCUCCUCCCUCACCGAUCCAUGUGCGUCCCUCCCGAAGCUGCGCGCUCGGUCGAAGAGGACGACCUUCCCCCCCGAGGAGAGGACCGGUCUUCGGUCAAGGGUAUACGAGUAGCUGCGCUCCCCUGCUAGAACCUCCAAACAAGAAACUAGAGAAGUCAGCAAGGACAAUAGCCAAACAGAAUGUUCUUU
rnacentral:snRNA from 1 species